AUGAGUUUAAUUUUAUUAUAUCUAGAGCCCGAGUAAUUAAUUCUGUAGGGGUGUUUUAACACCUAGUGCCCUAAGGUCAACUGGUCUGGGAGUCACUGGCCUAAAGCUCGCUAUAUGGGUUAUAGAUAUAUUGUUUGGUUAUUUAUUAAAAACACGAGUAAUUAAGUCUGUAAGGGUGUUUCAACACCUAGUGCCCUAAGGUCAACUGGUCUGGGAGUCACUGGCCUAAAACUCGCUACAUGAGUUAUAGAUAUAUUGUUUGCUUAUUUAUUAAAAACCCGAGUAAUUAAGUCCGUAUGGGUGUUUCAACAUUUAGUGCCCUAAGGUCAACUGGUCUAGGAGUCACUGGCCUAAAGCUCGAUACAUGGGUUAAAAAUGUAAUUUUCAAAAAAAAAAGCUUGAAUAAUCUACUAUCUGAAAAUAAAAUUUCUAAUGAGUUUUAGAACGAAAAUGUUGUUUUCUUUUAAUGAAACCCGAUAAGUAUUGUGUUAAUUACUUGAGCAGAAAAGAAGGUUUAUAAUAUUCUGGAUAAUAAGUGAACGACCAAGAGUUAAAAAAAAAACAAUUGGGAGAGUUUAU
rnacentral:lncRNA from 1 species